rnacentral:misc_RNA from 1 species
GAUGAAGAACGUAGCGAAAUGCGAUACUUGGUGUGAAUUGCAGAAUCCCGUGAACCAUCGAGUGUUUGAACGCAAGUUGCGCCCGAAGCCAUCAGGUUGAGGGCACGUCUGCCUGGGCGUCACAUAUCGUUGCCCAAUGCCUAUUGCAGUGCAAUAGGAAUUUCUAGGGCGAAUGAUGGCUUCCCGUGAGCGUUGUUGCCUCGCGGUUGGUUGAAAAUCGAGUCCUUGGUAGGGUGUGCCAUGGUAGAUGGUGGUCGAGUUAGAACGAUACCGAUCAUGUGCAUGCUCCCCAAAAUAUGGCCUCUAUGACCCACACGCGUCUUUUGACGCUCAUGACGAGACCUCAGGUCAGGCGGGGCUACCCGCUGAAUUUAAGCAUAUCAAUAAGCGGAGGA